ACCAGACUCCUACGGGAGGCAGCAGUGGGGAAUAUUGCACAAUGGGGGAAACCCUGAUGCAGCGACGCCGCGUGAGCGAAGAAGUAUCUCGGUAUGUAAAGCUCUAUCAGCAGGGAAGAAAAUGACGGUACCUGACUAAGAAGCCCCGGCUAACUACGUGCCAGCAGCCGCGGUAAUACGUAGGGGGCAAGCGUUAUCCGGAUUUACUGGGUGUAAAGGGAGCGCAGGCGGCGCGGUAAGUCUGAUGUGAAAGCCCGGGGCUCAACCCCGGGACUGCAUUGGAAACUGUGCAGCUAGAGUGCAGGAGAGGUAAGUGGAAUUCCUAGUGUAGCGGUGAGAUGCGUAGAUAUUAGGAGGAACACCAGUGGCGAAGGCGGCUUACUGGACUGUAACUGACGUUGAGGCUCGAAAGCGUGGGGAGCAAACAGGAUUAGAUACCCGAGUA
rnacentral:rRNA from 1 species